AAAAUUUCAGUGAAUUAAAUUACUAUACUUAACACUGAGAGGCGCUGGAACUGAGUUCCAGUGAUUUCUGGCUGAAAAAAGGCCCUGCCUGGGAGUGCUUUAAUGAGGGCAAGGACGCUCUUGCCUCUGCCACUUGCAGGAGGCCUAAGGGCCAAACAAGGUAAAGGUGAAGGUAAAGGGCCCCUGACCGUUAGGUCCAGUCGUGGCCGACUCUGGGGUUGCGGCACUCAUCUUGCUUUAUUGGCCAAGGGAGCCAGCGUACAGCUUCCAGGUCAUGUGGCCAGCAUGACUAAGCCGCUUCUGGCGAACCAGAGCAGCGCACGGAAACGCCGUUUACCUUCCCACCGGAGCGGUACCUAUUUAUCUACUUGCACUUUGACGUGCUUUCGAACUGCUAGGUUGGCAGGAGCAGGGACCGAGCAACGGGAGCUCACCCCAUCGUGGGGAUUCGAAGCGCCGACCUUCUGAUUGGCAAGUCCUAGGGCCAAAUAAGAUGUGAUGCUAAUUGCCUAAAUGGGAAUGCAUUUUUUAGAAAUGUAAAUUGUAGUUGUGAAGCAGCCUUGAGAGCAUUGGGUGUGUGUGGGGGGGGUGAGGUAAGUUGAGGGGGCUAAUCCAGACCUUCUGUGCCACAGUCCCAACAAAAAUUAUGUGCAAAUUGAAUUCACACAGUCAAUGCCAUAUCUAGUUUGGCUGUAAGGGGCAGAAGGUAGCUGCACUGUUUAUAGCAAAGCAAGGACAAUGGCAAGAAAAAACGAACUUGGCCAUUGCUCACCACUUUGGGCUGUGGUUUAUCAAACUGGUAUUCAUCCUCUGCAGUUUCCCUUCAUACAUGUUCCCUUCAGGGAACCUUAGUCUACAGCAGGGGCACCAAUUUCACGAGGCUAUUGGAAGGUUACCUACAAAGGAAUGAGGCCUGUGUGCUUAAAAAUAUCCCCUACAUUAGGUUUAUGGUGUGGCCUUGUCCUGGUAUCAUCACAGAUGAAGAGUGGGUUAAAAUAACAUUUUGGAAAGCCUCAGAAUUGUGGGAGCAACUCAGCAGCGAUUUACUAAUUUUAUGCUUUUAAUAAUAAGCAGAAAAGUAAACCGCUACUGAAUUGCACCCACAAUUGUAAGGCUUUCAUUGCCAAAAUGUUAUCAUUGGCUAUGCACUACCUGUGAUGUCACAAAAGCACAUGGCAGCUGAUUGGAUAUAAAGGUGGGCCUUUUCUUCUUCAACAGAACGCAGUGGGUAACCGCUGUGACAUUCAGCAUUGCUCAGUCUUCUUCCACCUUCAGGAGGCAAACUGGCAGACAAACGGAGGUGACCAUCUAUCUGGGGGAUGCUAUGGAGCACUAAUAAGGUAAAUUCAUUUCCUGAGCAGGAUUGCAACUUGAAAGCAGCUGGUGUCCAUGGUGGGAAGCUGGCCAAUGUCUAGUGAUGGACCUACUGGAAGGUGGCAGAUGUUGGUGGAUGGAAGCUGGUGGAGGUUGCAUUUAGAAACUGAUAAAUUCUUCAAGGCUGAAAUAGGCUGGUGUUUGUGGAUGGAAGCUAGUUGAAACUCACCUUUGGAAGCUGGUGGAUAUUUGGGGAUUGAAGGCUGGUAAUGAAUGGAGAGGCAAGAAUUAAAUUGCCUGUUGGUGUUCUUCAUAGAUGUUGGCUGGCGUACGCCUGUGGGAGAUUUCAAACGGUGUUUGUAUGUGUAUGAAUAUGAUAUGUGAAAGGAAACAAGUGGAUAUUUAUGAAUAGAUAGAGACUGUGAAAGUGGGCAGGAUGAUGUUAGUGGAUGAAGUCUCCAGGCUGAAGCCGGUGGAGGCAGCUGGGUGAUGUUGUUGGAUGGUAGUUUCUGUCAGGAGAUCAGCCUACACUCGAGUAGGACCCUGGCAGAGACACAUGCCCAGCUGGCAUGUUCUCUCCCUCUUGGUUGAUUGUUUGGGAGCUUCAUAAGCUUUCUUCAGCCCGAACAUCACUGCGACUGAUGCCAACCGACACCGGCACACUUAGGGACCCUCAGAGUUUGCGCAGCUUGCGUGACAGACCUCCGCAACUCAGCAUUUUGGCUAAUCUACUUUAUUUACAUAUAAACACACACGGAGCACUGCAACAUGGCUCCCUCUCUAGCAUCAGACAGCAAAGAGAAAAAGAACAAAGGACAAUAGUCCCACUUCAUGGAACUCAGUAACACAAACAUCCUGUCUCCGUCACUUCCCACUCUGUGGAGUCAAAACACAUACCGUCAUGUGAAAGACAAAAAUCCCAUGACUGCAGUCAUGGAGCAGGAAUUCUAACAGUCUCCCCCCUCAAUAUCUGUGCAUUUCCCAGCAAGGGACAUCUGAAGUUGGUGAGAUUUUCUCAAGACCACCCCGAAAGCAAAUAAGUGAAUUGCAGCACUUGAGCGAGUCAGGUUAUAUUUCUCAACAAAUGGCUUUCUAAAUACACCUAGCUGUAGCAUCCACUCUUAUCUUUUUCUUCAAAGACAGAUAAUGGAAGAUGAAAUGCCUGAGCUUUAUGGUGUGCCUCAUACCAGUACACAGGUGGGGUGAGUGAGAAAUACCAUAUUUUUUGCUCUAUAGAACACACUUUUUCCCCUCCAAAAAUUAAGGGGAAAUGUGUGUGCGUCCUAUGGAGCGAAUGCAGGCUCCUUGGCUUCAGCGAUAGCAACGUGAAGCCUCCAAAGCGCAGAGGGAGAGCUCCUCUGCGCUCCGGAGCUUCACGUUGCUUCGCUGAAGCCUGGAGAGCGAGCGGGGUCGGUGCGCACCGACCCCUCUCGCUCUCCAGACUUCAGGGAUAGCCGCCUGAAGCCUGUGGAGCGCAAUGCGAGUUCCCACUGUGUUCCGCAGGCUUCAGGUUCCCUUUGUUGAAGCCAGGAGAGCAAGACUCUCCUACCUUCAGCAGAGAGGGAGAGCUGCGCAGCGCCCCUUCAGCCAAGCGGGAGGAGAAAUGGAGCCCCUUCCAUUUCUCCUCCCGCUUGGCUGAAGGGGCGCUGAGCAGAGAGGGGGAGAUUUUUUUUUCUUGUUCUCCCCAUCUAAAACAAGGUGCGUCCUAUGGUCCAGUGCGUCCUAUAGUGUAGCCUUAUGAGGCUUUGCCCUCGGGUGGGAAAAAUAUUGCACCCGGGAAAGGGAAAAUGGGAGUCAACAGACACUCAAGGAAUAGUUUCGGAGAAAAGGCUUUAUUUCUACCAUCCAUGAACUGGUAGAAGGAGCAAGUGUGAUAGUUCACAAAAGGCAUGCACGGGUUCACAGUCAUGUGCACAGAGCAUAUAUACCCCUUCCAGUUCCCUCCCCCUUUCUCUUCCUUCUUCCAGAGUCCUGCCUAUGAGUUCCUCUGAGCAUGAACAGAAAGCUGUCUUGGGACUAUUGGACUCUUGGCACCCCUCCCAGGAAAGGGGAGUGAGAGCCAAGGGGUCGAGGAGACCUGGAGGUUCAGCAUGUCCAAGAUGUUGCAACUGCAUGAGAGAAAAGUCAGUUCUCAGGCCUGCUUUGAACAGAGUCUAUUCAUUAGCUUUUUGAAGCCGCCUUGUACUGAUAAAAAGUAACGGUUUGCCUAUGCACAUCAUCUUGUGAGAAAAAGCAGAGGAAAGCUUUAGCUGUGGAUUUUUUAGAAGACAAAAGGAAUUUUGGACAGCUUUGAGGCCUGGGGUGAUUAUUGAGUGUGGGGGGGUGACUUCGGGCCUAGGUGGGGUCACCUGUCCUCACCUCCUACAAUAGAGUGAAAAAUAUGGUAAUAAACAAAUUUGUGCUGAGGUGCCCCACAACUGUCUGGCCUGGGGAGGUUGUUCUGAUGUCUCUCCAGCUGUUGCCAUUGGCUGCCAUCUGCCUGUGAUGUCACAAAAGGACACUGUGGCUGAGGGGAAACAGUGAUGUGACAUCUGAGGUGCUCCUGACUUGGCAACUCUAUUUCCACCUGUGUCUUGGAUUUUUAGUUCAUAGGCCUGAGGACAGAACUUAUGGCUCUCUUGGACUGAUGAGGAUCACUUUGGGAGACUAUAUUUGCCUGUCAGGUGGGAUAAGCCUACAACAGAAUACGUUAAAUGGACAAAAAUGGUUUUCGCAUGCUGCAGAAAGCGCUGAAACAGCAAGUAUAUUCAUACUGCUUAUGGGGACAUGCAUGUGUUCCACAUAAGGGGACGGAACAUUUUUUAAUUGCUUUUAUUUUUAUCUAUGUCAUUUUAAAUUGUGAUUGAUAUUAAUACUGUAUUCAUAGUUUUAGAUUUUAUGAUUUAUGUGGAAAUUGUUUUCCAUUUGGUUCUAUACUUUUUGAUGUGUUUUAUUUAUUAUGUUGGUAAAUAUGUAAAUCUUGUCAUGUUGUAAGCCGCCUUGAGCAUUGUUUUAACUAUGGAAUGACGUUAUACAAAUAAAAUGAUGUUGAUGAUGAUGAUCUAUUUAUAAGGACCCUUUCUCCAUUCAAGAAAAUGAAAUUCACAAACAAGUUAAUUGGUGAUGGAAAGGUGAUGGUUUAUUAACACCUUUUAGCUAAAUUGAUUAUCAGGGCUGGAUUUAGGUUGAUGAGGCCCUAAGCUACUGAAGGUAAUGGGGCCCUUUAUAUGUAUUUUAUCAAAGUAAUUGUUGAACUGAAAUACAAUUAAGAAGAUGUAUAUUAAUAGUGAAAUAAAAUUAAGAAGAAGUAUAUUAAUCGUGAUAGUGAUAUUUUAGGGAGGAGGCUAGCAGGCGGGGCCCAUUACUUACAUCAUAGGAGCCUACACAACACAAAACACUCUUGCUGGAUGUAGGUUUUAUUUUAUUUGUUUUUUAUCUUAUAUUUUGGAAAUGUGCAUCCAGGUUUUUUUCUUUAUUAUUUUGGGGGGGGGCCAGGAGAGUGGAGCCCUAAGCUAUAGCUUGUUUAGCUUAUACGUAAAUCUGGCACUGUUGAUUGUCUAUGUUCAGAAGUGUGCGUUUCAAUACAUAAGGAUGGGGUCUGCUUUCCAGUCCUGUCCUGCUUGUGAGCCAAAGGCAUUUGCCUCACUAUUUUGGAAUCAGAAAACUGGGGCAGGUGGUCCUUGAUCUUAUUCAGCAAGGUAAGUUAUGUUGUCCUAAAACCUGUGCAUUGACUGAUGCAGUAUAUGCUUUGGUGUUGUUUAGUCGUUUAGUCGUGUCUGACUCUUCGUGACCCCAUGGACCAGAGCACGCCAGGCACUCCUAUCUUCCACUGCCUCCCACAGUUUGGUCAAACUCAUGCUGGUAGCUUCGAGAACACUAUCCAGCCAUCUCGUCCUCUGUCGUCCCCUUCUCCUUGUGCCCUCCAUCUUUCCCAACAUCAGGGUCUUUUCCAGGGAGUCUUCUCUUCUCAUGAGGUGGGCAAAGUAUUGGAGCCUCAGCUUCAGGAUCUGUCCUUCCAGUGAGCACUCAGGGCUGAUUUCCUUAAGAAUGGAUAGGUUUGAUCUUCUUGCAGUCCAUGGGACUCUCAAGAGUCUCCUCCAGCACCAUAAUUCAAAAGCAUCAAUUCUUCGGCGAUCAGCCUUCUUUAUGGUUCAGCUCUCACUUCCAUACAUCACUACUGGGAAAACCAUAGCUUUAACUAUACAGACCUUUGUUGGCAAGGUGAUGUCUCUGCUUUUUAAGGUGCUGUCCAGGCUUAUGGACUGUCUGGCUUCUGUUUAGUUCAGGGUUGAGUCAAGCAGUACCUAGUGCAUCUAUAUCUGAUCAUUUGUUCUUCUCAGCCUGCCACCACGUUUCCUUGCAUUUCUUCGUAUCUGCUAAUACUCCCCAAGCAAUAUGCGACAGAGUUUGAUUUCAGUGGAUCUCGCUGGGUCUUCCAUUUCUCGUUAAAAAUAAAUAAAUUUGUGGUUACGGUUUUAUAUUUAUACUUGGCCAUCAACAAUGACUGUGUGUGUAAUUUCAAUCAGACUCAGCUGCAUAUUUUUCCAUUUUAAUUCUGGAACACAAAUAGUGCUUUCAGUCUGCAAAUAUUUAUUGGGGAAACGAUGUAAUGUAUAAAUGUAUUCAUAUUUCAAAAUGUACCUGCCAUUGUUUUCCCAUUGUGUUUGUGAUUCUGUGCUAUUGUUCCAUUCACAGUGCAAUACAAUGGUACCUUGGUUCUCAAACGCCUUGGAACUCAAACGCCUUGGUUCUCAAAUGCCAAAAACCCGGAAGUAAGUGUUCUGGUUUUCAAACAUUUCUGAAGCUGAACAUCCGAUGCGGCUGUCGGCUAUUGUUGAUGGCGCACGUGCACCAAUCAGAAGCUGCUCCUUGGUUUUUGAACAUUUCAAAAGUAAAUGGACUUCCAGAACAGAUUAAGUUUGGCGCUCUUGUUUUUGUUAUUUAUUUUGCAUUUUUGUUUUUGAUGCUUUUUUUAGUUAAUUUGUUUUUGUGACUGUGUGGAACCCAGUUCAGCUACUGAUGGAUUAAUUGUGUGACUAUGGAAAUGGAUAAACGCCCCCCAUCCAAACAACGACUAUCAUCAGUGCAGGUAAGAAAAAAAUAUUAAUUUACAUUUUGAUCAUCUACAAUACUGUCUUAUUUAUUUUAUAGUACAGCACAUUGAUUAUUGCUUUCAUUUUGUGGAUCAAUGGUCUUGUUAGAUAGUAAGAUUCAUGUUAAAUUGCUGUUUUAGGGGUUGUUUUUAAAAGUCUGGAACGGAUUAAUCCAUUUUGCAUUACUUUCUAUGGGAAAGUGUGCCUUGGUAUUGGAACGCUUUGGUUUUGGAACAGACUUCCGGAACGGAUUAAGUUUGAGAACCAAGGUACCACUGUACUAGUGUUAGGGACUGACAGCAUGUGGAAGAGUGGUGGGAGUCGCCUGCCCAAGAGCCGCUCAGGGAGGACACAGAAGAUGACGACUUAGAUCCCCGAUCCUGGUGGUAGGACAUUGAGGAGCAAUAAAUCUUCUUCCCUCAAAGAUCUGAUGAGACAAUGCACUGGAUAGUGUACGACUAAAACUUGUUUGAUGCAAGGUCAUGUGACCUCCCUGCAAACAAAUCAGAAUGAAUGCUCAUUAAAUUGCCAACAUUGUCUAGUUUCCCUGCAAACAGACAAGGAUGGAUGCUCAAUAAACAGGUUGACUGGUAGAACCCACUAUAGUCAACAGAGCUUCCCCACCCUCCGCUGACUGUAGCCUGUGCAGUUUUUAUGCAAGCCUAUUCCAAAGAAGUCCCAGUGAAUUAAAUAUGUCUUUGUUGUUUAGUCGUUUAGUCGUGUCCGACUCUUCAUGACCCCCUGGACCAGAGCACGCCAGGCACUUCUUCUUCCACUGUCUCCCGCAGUUUGGUCAGACUCAUGUUUGUAGCUUCGAGAACACUGUCCAACCAUCUCGUCCUCUGUCGUCUCCUGCUCCUUGUGCCCUCCAUCUUUCCCAACAUCAGGGUCUUUUCCAGGGAGUCUUCUCUUCUCAUGAGGUGGCCAAAGUAUUGGAGCCUCAGCUUCAGGAUCUGUCCUUCCAGUGAGCACUCAGGGCUGAUUUCUUUAAGAAUGGAUAGGUUUGAUUUUCUUGCAGUCCAUGGGACUCUCAGGAGUCUCCUCCAGCACCAAAUAUGUCUUACCUUCACGUAAAUGUGAGUAAUAUUGCAGGCUAAGGAAAUACUGUAUGUACUUACCUGGGGAAUAAGUCCUAUUGAACUCCAUGGGACUUCUUUUCUGAGUAGAUAUUCUACAGGAUCACACUGUAAGUCACUGUUAGACAUUGUCUGGGGUUGCAUCGUAAGUCGCUCUUUGUUUUUUGAUCCUGAAUUAGCCAAAUGUAUGACCCAAGCCAAGUGGGGAUCACAUUGUGAACCUGGUGCCAUUGUAAGAGAGGCAACUCCCCAUUUAUGGAGGGGUUAAAUUCCAAGGCACCGCAUGUGUCACCUUUCAUAGCCAAAAUGUUAUCAUUGGCUAUGAACUACCUGUGAUGUCACAAAAACACAUGGCAUCUGAUUGGAUAUAAAGGUGGGUUGUACUAAUUGGACCAGUUCCAUUUAUCUGUGGUGGUAUUGCUGAGGGGAAGCAAAGCCAAUUGAGAGAGAUGGCACAAGAGCUGUGCUUUUUUCUGGUGGGGACGCAGGGGUACGCAUACCCCUAAACAUUUUGUGAAUCUAAUGGGAGAAUAUUUUUUUUUAAAAUGUUAGUUUCUUCUCUAGCACCGUGAAUUGUCAGUUCUGUUGCUACCUCUGCCUCAUUUCCUGUCACAGUGUUUCCCAUGUCUCAGGCUGAAGCGAGCGUUUAAUGUGUGAAGCAGUGUGGAAUGUGGAUGUGUGGUGUUUUACUGAUGAAAGUUUGGCCUUGUUGAGGGGCAGUAUUUCAAUAUGAGCAGGAAAAUGUUAGUGCACACAACCUCAUGCCAAUGUGGAAGUUACUGUGAGCUGUCAGCUGUGUAAUAUGAGGUAAUGCAUGUUCUUUGUGCUUUUGUCCUUUUACUGUAUUUAUUUCCCUUGAUUUGAACUAUAAAAUGGUGUUUUUCUUGAGUCAAAAUGAGAGUACCCGUAAACAUUUUUUUUUUGAAAACAAGCACUGCACGACAGCAAUGUUAACAAGAAUGUAUGUAUUGAUUUAGAAGUUUUAAAAGAUGCCUUUCAGAGCACAUUGCCCUCACAAAUAGGGAAAGAUGUUUGCAGGCAUUGCUGGAAAAUCAUCAAAAAGGGAAAGAUCCAUUUCAAUGCUGCAACUCGCUUUUUUCCGUUGUUUUUUUUUAACAAUUUAGCCCUAAUUUCGGUGUAGCCCUAAUUUUCAAUGCUUUUUCCCCUCGACAUGAAGAAUAUCUGGGAAAAUUCGUAUAAUUGCUUAAAAUACAGUGGUACCUCGGGUUAAGAACUUAAUUCGUUCUGGAGGUCUGUUCUUAACCUGAAACUGUUCUUAACCUGAAACACCACUUUAGCUUAAUGGGGCUUUCCUCUGCCACCGCGCCGCCACCGCACGAUUUCUGUUCUCAUCCUGAAGCAAAGUUCUUAACCCGAGGUACUAUUUCUGUGUUAGCGGAGUCUGUAACCUGAAGCGUCAGUAACCUGAGGUACCACUGUAUAGAUCAAUUCUCUAGACAAAGGCAAUCGCUGUGAAGGCAAAUAUUUGCAUGUAUUUUUGGAUUUUAGAGAAAAGCCAGUCACACCAAUGGCUAUUGCCUCCUCUGCUGUAUUACCUUAAUGAUAAUCUGCAAUGGCUUGGUAUUAAAAAAAAUUGCACUCUGGAAUUAAAACAGCUGUGCAGCGAUGCACAGAAUGAGCACUGAAAUGUGAAAAUUAAACUGUAAGCUUUUACAGAAAGUGGAUUUUGCUAAACCCUGGCAAGCUGCAGGUGAGUACAAAUGGCUCUACUCCCCUCUCACAAACAAAUAUUUGAAUGCACUUAACACUUAAUUGCUGACUUUGUUCCACUUUCACAGAGUAUGCUCAUGACUAUUCUGAAACAGGCUCAGAACCAGUACCAAGUGACUAUUGCUUGGCUCCGGACUUCCCGUCGUAUUCACCGUAUUUUUCGCUUUAUAGGAUGCACCCGACCAUAGGACGCACCUUGUUUUAGAGGGGGAGAACAAGGGAAAAAAAUUCUCCCCCUCUCUGCUCAGCGCCCCUUCAGCAAAGCGGCAGGAGAAACGGAGCCCGAGCUUGUGGGGCUGGUGGUGGGGGGAAGCGCUGCUUUCCCCCACUGCCAGCCUCAAAGAUCCCUGAAGCCUUUGGAGCGCAGCGGGAACUGGCGCUGCGCUCCGAUGGCUUCAGGCGGCCAUCCCUGAAGCCUGGAGAGCGAGAGCGAUUGGUGCGCACCGACCCCUCUCGAUCUCCAGGCUUCAGCAAAAGCAACACGAAGCCUCCAAAGUGCAGAGGGAGCGCUCCCUCUGCGCUUCGGAGGCUUUGCGUUGCUAUUGCUGAAGCCAAGGAGCCUGCAUUUGCUGCAUAGGAUGCACACACAUUUCCCCUUAAUUUCUGGAGGGGAAAAAGUGCGUCCUAUAGAGCGAAAAAUACAGUACUUCCUUACUUCAUUUUAUUUGUAUGUGCCUUUCCGGAAUUCAAAGCAUGCUCAAGGCAGCUUACAAAAUGAAAACAAAACAAAGAAGUACCGUAUUUUUCCGUGUAUAAAAUGCCUCCUAUUUUGGGGAACUCCAAAUUAAGAAAAUGGGGGCGGGGGAGAUUGCCCAGAGUUGUUGAGCUUAUUUUAGGGGGGAUUGCAGAAAAUCGCUCACCCGCACACAUCGCAAAAGCCACCUAUUGUCUGUCCCCUUGCCAGCAGAAGCGGCCAAUUGCCCGCCCAAUUGUUGCAGCAACAGCCAAUCACACCAGCCCUUCCACAACCACCAAUAACACGCCCAAUAGCCGCUGACAAUCUCUGACUCAUGGCAGCAACCAAUCACACAUCCUCCCUAUGCACUAUCCAUGUAUAAGACGAUCCCCAGUUUUUAACAUAAUUUUUAAAUAAAAAAACCUCGUCUUGUAUACGGAAAAGUAUGGGAGUUACAAACGUAACCAAAAGUAGUCAUCCAAAAGUAGAUCAAAAAGCACACAACCAAACUGAAUUAUUUGCACAUAAAUCACGAGAUCUAAAAUAAAGAUACAAACCAUAAUAUCAAUAACAGCAGCAACCCACCCCUCAAUACCCCCACCCCUAAAGAACACCCCAGCCCAAAUUCAUGUAGAAAGAAUUUCAGAUGUAUAAUGAACUGAUCAAUGCUAUCCGUUGCUCAACAGAUGGGGUAUAUGAAUAAUAAUAAUAAUAAUAAUAAUAAUAAUAAUAAUAAUAAUAUAUUAUUUAUACCCCGCCCCUCUUGCUGAGUUUUCCCAGCCACUCUGGGCGGCUUCCAAUCAAGUGUUAAAAACAAUACAGCAUUAAAUAUUAAAAACUUCCCUAAACAGGGCUGCCUUCAGAUGUCUUAUAAAGAGAAGAUAGCUGCUUAUUUCCUUCACAUCUGAAGGGAGGAUGUUCCACAGGGCGGGCGCCACUACCGAGAAGGCCCUCUGUCUGGUUCCCUGUAACCUCACUUCUCGCAUUGAGGGAACCGCCAGAAGGCCCUCGGCACUGGAUCUCAGUGUCUGGGCUGAACGAUGAGGGUGGAGACGCUCCUUCAGGUAUACAGGACAGAGGCCGUUUAGGGCUUUAAAGGUCAGCACCAACACUUUGAAUUGUGCUUGGAAACGUACUGGGAUGUUUUCUGCAGUUACAUCAAACAUGACGGGCAAGAAGCACAUCUCUAAAUACCUAAGGCCAAGCAGUGGAACCUAAGGUUGACUAGAGAUCACAUCCACUGCAUAUUUACAAGGGGUAUCACAUAAUUGUAGAGUUGGAAGAGACCCUGAGGAUCACCUAGUCCGUGGGUAGGCAAACUAAGGCCCGGGGGCCGGAUCCGGCCCAAUCGCCUUCUAAAUCCGGCUCAUGGGUGGUCCAGAAAUCUGCGUGUUUUUACAUGAGUAGAACGUGUGCUUUUGUUUAAAAUGCAUCUCUGGGUUAUUUGUGGGGCAUAGGAAUUCAUUCUCCCCCCCCAAAAAAAUAGUCUGGCCCUCAACAAGGUCUGAGGGACAGUGGACUGGUCCCCUGCUGAAAAAGUUUGCUGACCCUUGAGUCCAACCCCCUGCAAUGGAGGACUAUGCAGCUGUCCUUACGGGGAUCGAACCUGCAAUCUUGGCGUUGUCAUCACCAACCUCUAAUCAACUGAAGUAUAUUAUAAAGGUAAAGGUAAAGGGACCCCUGACCAUUAGGUCCAGUCGUGGCCGACUCUGGGGUUGCAGUGCUCAUCUCGCUUUAUUGGCCGAGGGAGCCGGCUUACAGCUUCCGGGUCCUGUGGCCAGCAUGACUAAGCCACUUCUGGUGAACCAGAGCAGUGCACGGAAACACCGUUUACCUUCCCGCCGGAGUGGUACCUAUUUAUCUACUUGCACUUUGACGUGCUUUCGAACAUUAUAGUGGAUAUGAUAUAUUUAAAAUGGAAGGAAACGAACAGAAACAAUGAAAACUUGGUGUGCGUAAGGCACUAACAUGAAAUGUAUCCUGUAUUUUAAAUCAGUCUUGCAAAGCAGAUAGAAUAGUAGGCAUUAUGAUAAAAAAUAUCUUAUUAAUUACGUCUGCCUUCCCUGGGUGAGUGUGCUAUCACAGUGAUGGUUCUUGUGAGUGGUCAGUGAUGUGCUACAGCAUAAUCCUAACCUUGUCUACCCAGAAGUAAGUCCAAUUGAAUUCUUUUGGGCUUUGAGGUAACUAGGGCUAGGAUUCCACCCUCAGUUCCUCCCCUUCUUCCAUUUAACUUUAUGACAGCGACGGCAUACUUCGGAGGGUUAAAAAGAAGCCUCUUACAUAUUCUUGGCUACAAAACAAAGUGGAUUACCAGUGUCCAAUGCAAAAAUACUGCUCAAAUAAGAUGGGCGGCAAAAAAUGACCAUCUGUCAUAUAUUAUUUUAGUGUUAACCUCUGCCUCAUAAAGUAAGCUCUCCUCAUGUCUCCCGUUGCAAUGUAGAACUAUUUUCAAUUCUCUUCAUGCCCUCUGGGCAUCAGCAUGAUUUGGAAACCUAAUAAAGAAAGUCAUCAAAGAACAACUCAUGUGCCCAGAAUUUGUAUUACUACACUACGGGGAACCCAAGUGGUGUGUUAUCCUUUGACCAUAUGUCUUCUAAAUCUCCAUUUAUUGCCAGAAAAUCAAUACGGUCUUUUUUUUCUAGUAGAAAGUUCCACUAGACAUGAAAUGCUGUACCAAAUAGGCAUAUUGUGCUGAAGUGCUUUCUCCCAGGAAACAUCUGUAUAGCUCGCCGUAAAGGUUAUUUUUUAUUUAUUUAGUACUUUUGUAUCUUACCUUUCCUCCAAGCUGUUUUAGCCUCUCUACGAUUCCACAAGUAGGUUAGGCUAUAAGGGUAAUAUAGUAGUAGUAGUAGUAAUAACAACAACAACAAUAAUAAUAAUAAUAAUAAUUUAUUUAUACCCCUCCCUUCCCGGUUCAGAAAACCGUGCUCAGGGUGGCUAACAAUAAAUUUAAAACACUUAAUUGAUGCAACAAAAAACAGCAUAAAAUACAGUAUAAAACGUGAAUAACAAUAAAUUCAGAACUCAAAAGUCAAUUUAGGGGGGAAAUCCAUCCAAUAAACAUUAGAUGAUCACCAGGGCUAGCUGGCUAUAUUAGUCCUAUUUGGGCCAGCGAGGAGACCAUGGGAGAAUUAGCUGUGGGUAGGCAAUUGUCCAAGGCUACUCAGAGAUCCUCAUUGAGGAAUGAGGUUUUGAAACUUGGUUUCUCACAUCCAAACCUAAGACUGCACUCCUAUCCCCAUUUACCUGGGAGCAUUCUCCUUAGAAUUCAACCCCAACUCCAGUCCUGGUUAGAAGAGCAACUGCAUAGAUCCAUUAUCCACUGUUGGGUUUUGUCGUUUUAAGGCUUAAAUGAUGUGUGUGCGUUUUGUGAGACUAAAGAUGGAUAAGGCUAAAUUGCAGUUGUAUGGAUGAUAUGCAGGACAUAAAGAAGGGGAUGGAAGAAGUUCACCUCAUGGUGAAAAGAAUCGUUGGGUGAUGUGUCCAUGGUCUGAGGUGCGUUGAACCCCCUUCUGCAAGAAGAGAGGGAUGCUCUCAGGUGAGAGCUGGGAAGAUUCACCUUUUCCUGUAUGGGAUAAAAGCUAAGAUAUAGCAGUGACAGAGGAUUUUGUAGUUUUCUAUCUCUUUUCUUUUCUUCUAGCUUCUUUCUUGCUAUUAUGUUGUUGUUGUUGUUGUUGUUGUUUAGUUGUUUAGUUGUGUCCAACUCUUUGUGACCCCAUGGGCCAGAGCACGCCAGGCACUCCUGUCUUCCAUUGCCUCCCGCAGUUUGGUCAAACUCAUGCUGGUAGCUUCGAGAACACUAUCCAACCAUCUCGUCCUCUGUCAUCCCCUUCUUCUUGUGCCCUCCAUCUUUCCCAACAUCAGGGUCUUUUCCAGGGAGUCUUUUCUUCUCAUGAGGUGGCCAAAGUAUUGUAGCCUCAGCUUCAGGACCUGUCCUUCCAGUGAGCACUCAGGGCUGAUUUCCUUAAGAAUGGAUAGGUUUGAUCUUCUUGCAGUCCCUGGGACUCUCAAGAGUCUCCUCCAGCACCAUAAUUCAAAAGCAUCAAUUCUUCGGCGUUCAGCCUUCUUUAUGGUCCAGCUCUCACUUCCAUACAUCACUACUGGGAAAACCAUAGCUUUAACUAUACAGACCUUUGUCAGCAAGGUGAUGUCUCUGCUUUUUAAGAUGCUGUCUAUGUUUGUCAUUGCUUUUCUCCCAAGAAGCAGGCGUCUUUUAGUUUCAUGACUGCUAUUAUAGUGGUACCUCUACUGCUGUAUCCCUUUGGAUACGAAAUCUUUGGGUUAUGGCCACUGCCAACCUGGAAAUGUAUACUUUCAGGUUUCACUGCACACACAUGUGCCUUGUGCAUGCGCAGAAGCGCGCCUCUAUUUACAUAAUUUUCAGGGUUCAAACGGACCCCCAGAAUGAAUUAAGUUCAUAUCUGGAGGGUCCACUGUAUUCUGUGCGGAUUGGUUCGUUUUUUAAUUGUAUCAUGAAAAAUUUUGAUAACACUUUUCAACCCCCCCAUGGGCAUAGCUGGGGGGGGGUCAGCUGCCCCCCAAUCAAUAAAAAUAAAUAGCCAACUGAGGUCUUGGCCCCCCAACAAAAAUCCUGGCUACUCCCAUACCCUGCCCCCCCAAGCAAUAAUUAAGAAUUAAAAAUGCAUCCUUGGGAGCCAGAUUCAUGAACAGUAAACUGAACUAAGCCACGUGAGCUGUUAGAUCAGGAUGUCUGUGGGAUAUGUAACAUGGUAGUAGUACUUUGUAAUACACCCCCCCAAUGAAUUUGCCUCCCAGGGUGUAUUUGUGCAGAGGGCAUCUAUAAUACUCAAGCAUAUUUUUGCUGCUCUGAAAUGAGCAACUGCUGGGGAUGAAUGAAUAAUCCAGCAGGGACAAUAUUAAUUUUAAUAUAAAAGGGGUUUUCCAGCAUCUAAUCCCUGUGGAGUAGUUCAGCCUUUAAGAGAAGAAUCCGUGACCCGCGCCAGCGAUCUUCCAGCUGAACGCCGCAGCUUGAUCUCUGACUUUCCAGCUGGAUCUCCUCUGCGAAAGAAGAGAGCUCUUUCACACUUGACUCGCCAGACAACUGUGAAAUCGCACUGUUCUGAAGGCGCACGUGUUAUACAAUAGAUGUUAAAAUGCAAACAAUCCCGGGAUGAUCUCUGGGGCCCAAUAAUCAGAAGUGCAAUUUUGUAAAGGGGAAGAUUACGUUCCUCAGUUGCUAGAUAAAGUUCGAAAACUCCGUAAGGAAUGAGUGAUUGAAAAAGAACACCAACUGGGGGGCCUUUGUCCACUUACCACUUAUAGUGGUAUAUUUGCUCUUUGACCUGGCAUUUUUAAGUGUGAAUUUGUAGCUGAUCACCUGUACCUUUGGUCACAUGCCGACGUGAUUAGAGACUGAGGGCAGAGUCUUCCUUUCCACACUACUGGUGGAUUGUGCCCCAAAUGAGAAAAGUUAUGUGUCUGUAGUCACAUCAUUUAUGUACUCUCACAUUCCUCCAGCCAGUAAAUGUCAGAGUUGUUGCUGUUGUUUAUUUAUUUAUUAAAUUUAUAUACCACCCACCAAAAGAUCUCAAGGUGCUUCACAGAGUAAAAUACAACUUAAAACACAAGUAAACAAUUAAAGCAAAACAACAAAACGAUAACACAGGGAUAGCCCCUUGUGCCACCCCUAGUAGCUAUAAUGGGGGCAUUUAAAAAUGGCUAUAAUUGUAACAAAUUUCCCUGUUGCCAGAAAUGGAGAAAAUUUGCAGGCAUAUUAGUCCCUCCUGUGCUGCUGAUGUUUGCCAAAUUACCAAUUAAUAGACACAGGGCUUUUUUCUGCUCCCUCUGCCCAAAGAAACCCUACAUAACAUUUUUUACUUAUUGACAGAAUUGGAUAAGAAUGCUGGAUCUAAAUUUAUGAAUUCAUAAGGGACUCAAACCAGUAUGAAGGACUUUGUGUACAGAAUAUUCAAGUAUUGGUUUGAACUUCCUAAAUAAUGUUUGUCUUAGAAGAGUAUUUUUGUUUUUGUGUUUUUUCCAGUUUUUGUCGUUUUGUUUUGGUUCCCCCUUCUUUUUUCUUUUUCUUUUUUAAUGUUAUUCUGUUUAUCUUAGAUCCCUAAUUACUUCUACCAUGUAUUUUGUAACACCAAUUUUUAUCUUAGAGUAUGUAGUUGAGGAUCAAAUUAUUCUUUUUAUUCUUUCUUUGUAAAUUUUGAAAAUGUAAUAAAGUUAAAAAAACAACAUGCCCCAAGGUAAAAGACUUCUGGGAAAGGAUUUAUAAUGAACUGAAAAAAGUGUUGAAAAACACAUUUAUUAAGAAACCAGAAGCCUUCUUACUUGGUAUAGUGGGGGGAGAAAUCCCCCAAAAGGAUGUUACUUUUUUUCUGUAUGCCACAACAGCUGCGAGAAUAUUAUUAGCGAAAAACUGGAAGAAACAAGAUUUACCAACUAUAGAAGAAUGGCAGAUGAAGAUGAUGGACUACAUGGAACUUGCCGAACUGACUGGGAGACUCCGAGACCAGAGAGAAGAGACGGUGGAAGAAGACUGUAAGAAGUUUAAAGAAUAUUUGAAAAAAUGUUAAUAUUUAAAUCUUAGAAUAGCUUUGGAAGUGGAUAUAGGCUGUAGGGUUAGAAGUAGAAGAUAGUGUAUUUUAAAAUAGUAUUAUUUGUAAGUGAUAAAAUGUGAAGAUUUUUAGGGUAAAAGUAAGUGUGAUAAAAAAUGGUUAAAAUUAUGAUAUAUGAAACUGCUAAAGAUGAAGUAAAAUAAAAAUCAGAUAGGGGGGACUUGGGGAAGCUCACCUAACAAUGUUUAGAAAAAAUAAGGAUAAGACAAGAAUUUGUAUUGUUUGUAUUUCUGUUUGUAUUGUUUAUUUAUGUUAUAACCUGAAUAAAAAAAAAAUUGGGGGAAAAAAGUUUUUUAAAAAGUUAGAUCUGCUGGAUCAGACCUGAAAUCUAAGGUUAAAGAAAAUGUUUGUGAGAACUUUAGAAUGAAUUUUUGAGAAGGAAAGUUUUGAGAUGAUUUCCCCUCCCCCUUCAUUUGAUAAAAUAUUCUGAAAGCUCCGCUGUGUGGUUAGAUUUGCUUUCCAGUAUUGUUCAAGAUAUUAAACUUUCAAUAUUAUCAUCUGCAUGGGGAGUACAGUGGUACCUCAGGUUAAGUACUUAAUUCGUUCCGGAGGUCCGUUCUUAACCUGAAACUGUUCUUAACCUGAAGCACCACUUUAGCUAAUGGGGCCUCCUGCUGCUGCUGCGCCGCCGGAGCAUGGUUUCUGUUCUCAUCCUGAAGCAAAGUUCUUAACCUGAGGUAAUAUUUCUGGGUUAGCGGAGUCUGUAACCUGAAGCGUAUGUAACCUGAAGCGUAUGUAACCCGAGGUACCACUGUAUUCUACAAAAUAUACUUGAACACUCUAAACAGCUCUAGGUUCAAGAGGUCCUGAGCGAAGUGUCUUCUGGUAGGACCACUUCUCACCUGGUGAACUCUGGUGAGUUUACCUGGCUCAGUGAUGGGUAACAGUGAGCUCUGCUCUAAGUAGAACCAGCUAACUGAGGCCAUCUGCCCACUGAAUUUCCUACAGUGCCCCUUCAAUACAUUUUUGGAAACCCAAACGGUGAACAGGCCAAGCCUUCCAUCAAUUUUUGAAUCAGGAGGCUGUAAACACAGCUAAGCUAAGCAGUUGGCUCCUUACCUCUCUCGCCCUGACCUAGCCACUGUGAUCCACAUGACGGUCACCUCCGGACUGGAUUAUUAUAACUCACUCUACGUGGGGCUGCCCUUGAGACUGACCCAGAAACUCCAGUGGGUGCAGAAUGCCGAGUGAGACUCCUUACGGGGUCCUCGCCACAGGAUCACAUUCACCUGGUGCUAUACCAGCUGCACUGGCUCCUGGUGGAGUACAGGAUCAGGUUUAAGGUGCUGGUUUUAACCUUCAAAGCCCUAUACAGCCUAGGACCCUUGUACCUACGGGACCGCCUCUCCUGGUAUGUACCACGGAGGACCUUACGGUCUUCAAAUAAAUACAUCUUGGAGAUCCUGGGCCACAGGGAGGUUGGGCUGGCCUCAACCAGAGCCAGGGCUUUUUCGGCAGUGGCCACGAUCUGGUGGAACACUCUGUCACAAGAGACCAGGGCCCUGCGGGACUUGACAUCUUUCCGCAGGGCCUGCAAGACAGAGCUGUUCCACCAGGCCUUUGGCCAAGGCACAGUCUGACCCCCUCCUUCUGUAAGAACUCUAGCCCAAAGGUUGCCAUUAAUUUGACUCUGAAUUGAUUUUAGAAUGUAUUUCAAUUAAUUGAUUGUGAUUUUAUGUAAACUGUAUUAUUUUUUACUGCUGUUACCCUCUCUGAGCCUGGCUUCAGCUGGGGAGGGCGGGAUAUAAAUAAAAAAUUAUUAUUAUUAUUAUUUUUAUUAUUAUUAUUAAAGGUGUUCAGGACUGGUGUUGGCAGUGGGUCCUUCUGGAGUUCAGCUGCUCAAGGAUGCCAAGUGCUAAGAGAAAAUUUAAUCAAGAUGUUUUAUAGAUGGGACUGAACACCUGCCAAAAUAGCUAAAAUGUAUAAAGCAAAAGCAAACCUGUGUUGGAGGUGCGGUAAAACAGAAGGGACACUUAUACAUAUCUGGUGCACCUGUGAAAAAAUCCAAAGCUUCUGGAAUAUAGCAUAUGAUGAACUUAAAAAAAAGAUUUAAAUAUAACCUUGUGAAAAAUACAGAAGCUUUCCUAUUAGGAAUAACAGACACAGGUGUAGCAAAAGAAGAUUGGAAAAUAUUCCUUUAUGCCACAGGCGCGGCGAGGACCUUAAUUGCCAGAUAUUGAACAAAUGCAUUUGUGCCAACCAAAAAAGAAAGGCAGGAUAAAUUAUUAGAUUAUGCUGAACUGGCCAGAUUAACAGAGACAAUUAGGGGCCGACCCAGACAAGAAUGGGGGAAAUGCAGAGAAUACUUUAGCAAACAGUGCCCCCAAAUAUAUACCUAGACUUGUUUCGAUUAAUUUUUACAGGAGACUUUGCGGUUUUUAAAGUCAUAACUAGGAAAAAUUGUAAUAAUCACAUAUAAAAGAAACAGUACACAAGAAGUAAAUAAGGAGGCCAUUUACAGGAUAAAGGAAGUCUUUUAAUUUUAUGUUAUGUUUUCUUUAUGUAAGGGGUUAGGGGUUUGAUUUUGAUAAUUAAAUUGUCAAUGGUGGUGGGUUUGUUUGUAUGUAUGAGUUGUUGUGGAUUAUGCUGUAAAUAAAUUAUUAUUAUUAUUAUUAUUUAAAAGAAUGCCAAGUAUGAAUGCUAGCUCUGAUACUGAGUUUAAGGUAUAGAGAAUCACACACUUGGCUUCUGGACAGAGUGGAUUUGAUUUAAAUCAAAUUGAUUUAAAUCACGAUUUAAAUCACUAGUCAGUAAGACCCAUGGGACGCGGGUGGCGCUGUGGGUUAAACCACUGAGCCUAGGACUUGCCGAUCAGAAGGUUGGCGGUUCGAAUCCCCAUGGGGGGGUGAGCUCCUGUUGCUUGGUCCCUGCUCUUGCCAACCUAGCAGUUUGAAAGCACGUCAGAGUGCAAGUAGAUAAAUAGGUACCGCUCCAGUGGGAAGGUAAACGGCGUUUCCAUGCGCUGCUCUGGUUUUCCAGAAGCGGCUUAGUCAUGCUGGCCACAUGACCCAGAAGCUGUAUGCCGGCUCCCUCGGCCAAUAAAGCGAGAUGAGCGCUGCAACCCCAGAGUCGGCCACGACUGGACCUAAUGGUCAGGGGUCCCUUUACCUUUACCUUUAAGACAUGAUUUAAAUCAUUCCCCCCCCCGAAAGACUCAUUCUUGCUGGUAUAAUCUUAAUAUUUACAACCAGAGGAAGGUUUCAAUUGUGGAAUAAUAAAUUUUCAGAGUAGUUUUUACAGUUAUAUGAAAAAUUACUGAUUUGGUUAUACUAUUAGAAAUACAUAGACAGAUAAUUAUGAAAUUAUGGUGAGGUAUAGUAAGUUAACUGUUUAUAUUUGUACUGUUGUACUUUAUUGGAAGGAGAGAAAUAAUCAUUUCCUUAAUAACAAUUUAAACAAUUUAUUUAACUAAAACAAUAACAUUAUAGCAUAUGUAUCCAUGUUUGUUAAAACUUAAAACAAACCCUUAUUUCCUGAUGAAUAGCCUUUGGACUAUAAUUUAACUAUAAUGUAAUUUAAGAUUAUUUAGAAAGGAAGAUUUUUCUUCCAAAAGCAUUUUAUUUUAAAAAUCCAAUUUAAAUCAAAAAAAUCUGAUUUAAAUAGAAAAAAAAUCUGUUAAAAAAAAUCAUUGAUUUUUAUUCACCCUGCUUCUAGACUUUUGGCAGUAGGUGAGAAUGAGGGAACAAUUUUUGCCGUUGCAGAAUCACAAGGAGAAAAAAAAAAGGGAUAACCUCUCUCCACCAAUGUAAAACAUAUGGCUUUGCAGGUCAUUUCCGCGAGAUCCAUAAUUAAAGCUUUCUCAGGGGAGAUGAUGGAGCAUUGUAAAUCCUGACGGCUGUUUUCUGAAUUGUUUUGGCGAUCUUUUCAUUUCGUUUUAAUAUUCCUGGGAAAUAUCAUGUCCAAGGUAAGCAUGGGACAAAUUGUGGGUAGCUAGCUGUCUGCUUAUCGGUCUAUGGAAAAGGGAAACUUAGCACGGUUGUUUAGAGCUGGGACGGGGUUCAGUCAGAGGUAAUUUUAGCCUUACUGCCGAUUCCCUUGGGCUGAGGCACCUGCUGCUGUGCAUAGUGAUUGUGACCCCUUGAAUGUGUGCGUGUGUGAUUUCUGUAAUAGACAACAAAAGAGAUUAAGGCCGAGUGAGGUCUAAGAGAGGGCAAGAACCAGAAUUUUGAACAGAUGGUGUACAGGGACACACUGGCCUGCUGAAAGCCAGGAAGUGCGGAGAAAUGGCAGGCAGUAAUUAGCAGGAGAUGUUAAAAAAAGGAAAGUAUCCGUGAUCUCCCAGAACAUCUGCCGAAAAAGAACAAAAAAGGAGGCUCUCUGACCCUGAUCUUAAUGAGCAUAAUAAAAAGAUACGGUUUAAUGACAAAGUGAGCACUGUGGUGUACAGAAUUAUAGUGGGUUUUGAAAUUAUUUAUUUGGUUUGGUUUAAGGAGGGGCUGGGCGCAGUAUUGAACACGUAUAUUCAGAAUAGGAAGGAAAACACUAGUUGUCUUGUUACAGAACUGAUAUGUUUUCUUCUUCUUUAAAGUGGGGGAAAUAUUAUCAGCCUAUGAAUGUUUCCAAUGGCUGCACUACAAUCUUUCAGGAUGUGUAACAAUCUUUGCAUAUUUGGGCUUGAGGAAAUAAUUUGGUCACAGUUUUGGCAUGGGAUAGGUUUGCACACAAUUCUAUCCAAAUCAGAAGACUUAAAAAAGCAAAUUGCUGGAGGCAUCGUUUGCUUGCGAUCUGCGAAGGUCAGUCUUAGGGCUGGAUAGCAAACAGAAGAUAAUUGCAGGAUUGCAUGGAGAUUUGUUAGUGUAGUCUAGAUGUGUUGAACUCGUUGACAGUCUCUCAUCAAAGUAAUGUGGAAAACCACAGUUAUGGUAAUAGUUAAAAAUACAUCGGCUCACAAUAAGCUAGUAGUUAUUAUAUUUUAGUCCCGCCCCCCCACAAAAAUGGGUUGAUAGCACUACAUAAACUACUGUUGAGCAAUAUUAAACAGUGAGCUGUAAGAACAUUAGGCUCCAUUUGUUUGCUAGAGGAAGUUAGAUGAAUCGGUGAGGUAAGCAUUCUACUAAAGACAAUUCUUAACUCCUAGGCAGUGCUUUUUUUCAGCUGGCACAUCUCAGGUCGGCGCCAUUGUGGGCUGGUGCUCCCCUUGCCUGCUUCUUGCAUUUAUGUACUUCUGAGAAGGCCAGAACGAACAUUUCAAGUCAAAACAGAAGCUGGCCAGCAUGUGUGAGUCUUCACUUUUCCCCCUAGAUCCUAGCUGCUCCUAACCACGAUUAGUCAAGCCUCGGGGCAGGGCCAAUUCGUAUUAUUAUUAUUUUUCAAAUUUUUUAUUAGUUUUCCAAAUUUAUAACAAACAGAUAGAAAAAAUAAAAUAAAAAACACACAAACCAAUAAACCAACAAACAUUUAUCCUGAUUAUAGUAAUUCCACUUUUGUUAACAUUGUUAGGUGACUUCCUCGAAUCCCCCUGGCUGAGUUUUAUAUGGAAACAGUUGUAACAGUUUUCCAAAACUUUUUUCACAUAACAUUUACUUGGUCAAUUAACAUCUUUCUUUCUUUUCAUUUUUAACUUUAACAUAGUAUUUUACACAUCACAUUUUCAAAUCCUAGGCCUAUUUGGUACUCGCUAGUAAUUCUAUUUAUAUUCUCUUAAGAUAUUUAGCUAAAUAGUCUUUGAAUUUCUUCCACUCCUCUUGGUGCUCCUCCUCCCUCUGGUCAUGGACUUUUCCGGUCAGGUAGGCUAGCUCCCCAAAAUCCAUCAUCUUCAUCCGCCAUUCCUCCACUGUUGGUACUUCUUGUAGUUUCCAGUUUUUAGCCAGCAAAAUUCUAGCUGCAGUUGUGGCAUACAAAAACAAUCUAACAUCUUUUUUAGGCCAUUCCAAACCUAUUAUUCCAAGUAGAAAGGCUUCUGGUUUCUUAAUAAAUGUAUAUUUUAACAUUUUUUCCAAUUCAUUGUAUAUCUUUUCCCAGAAGUCUUUCACCUUGGGGCAGGUCCACCAUAUAUGAUAAAAGGUACCUUCUUUUUCUUUACAUUUUCAACAUAGAUUAUCAGUUUUAUGGUAGAUCUUUGCUAAUUUUACAGGGGUUAAGUACUAUCCAUACAUCAUUUUCAUAACGUCCAAUUUGUAUUUUCUUUUCUUCUGUCUCCCUUGUAGCAGUGAAAGUCUUUAAGCUUUUCAGUCAGGUCCCUAUUAUUGCACUAGCCAUCUUCCUGAAGAGAACGAGGGAGGUGGGGUCACAUUUAUCUGACCUGUAUCAUAACCAGGGACAACCUCCAAACCAGUAAGGGAGACAACUUGCUGUAGCUUUUAGCGCCUCCUGGGUGGUGAACACUGUUGUCAAACUAGAAUCUGUUCAGGGCUUCCCCGAGUUGCCUGGCGACUUACUGUAACAACUUCAUUUGGGUCCUCUACCCUGGGAAUAUAAAGGAUCUGCUCCCUGAUCUCUGGGACAUGUGAUCUGGGGCUGAUGGGAACUGAAGUCCAACAACAUCUGGAAUCCCAUAGGGUUCCCAACCAUGCCUUAAGGCAGGCAUGACCAAACUUGGCCCUCCAGCUGUUUUGGGACUACAACUCCCAUCAUCCCUAGCUAACGGGACCAGUGGUCAGGGAUGAUGGGAACUGUAGUCCCAAAACAGCUGGAGGGCCAAGUUUAGCCAUGCCUGCCUUAAGGAAAUGAAGUACAGUGGUACAUCGGGUUAAGAACUUAAUUUGUUCUGGAGGUCCGAUCUUAACCUGAAACUGUUCUUAACCUGAAGCACCACUUUAGCUAAUGGGGCCCCUCAUUGCUGCCGCACAAUUUCUGUUCUCACCCUGAAGCAAAGUUCUUAACCCGAGGUACUAUUUCUGGGUUAGCAGAGUCUGUAACCUGAAGCGUCUGUAACCUGAAGCGUCUGUAACCUGAGGUACCUCUGUACAUAUUUCACACACCCAAUCCGUACUGCUUUGUUGCUUUCCCUGGAUAUCAGAGGAUGGCUCUCACUGCAACAUCAGCAACACAGUUAUCAGCAACACACAACAGAUCCUUCUCAAGUCAUCAAUGAUGAUGAGUUACAUGACUUCCCCACCAUUCCUCCCCUGUGUUGAGCAGGUCAGGGGACUUCCUGGCUCUGCUUCCUCCCCCCCCCUCUCUCUCUCCCUCCCUUGCUGAAUGCAACUGGAAGCACAAUGAGAUAAACUGCUUCUGGCAGCAUAAUGAAAUGAAGUGGACCUUUGACCUAGAGAAGACCGGGAGAGACAUAUGGGGUCAUUGAAUUUCCUUUCCUUUCAUCCUCACUUGGACAUCCUGCUCACCUGACGCAAAUCAGCGGAUUUAAACGUUCUCCUGCAUGCUCACACCAGGCUUUCCUUAGCUGGUCCAUUUAUAGUCUUUGCGAAAGACUAUCGAAUUUCAGUGAAAGGAUGGAGGAGAAUUAACUCUAAUUAGGAGAGACUGGGUUAGUGAGCCUAAGACCACCCUCUCCUCCAAAUCCCACAAAGAGACAGAUCUCUCACAGUGAUGAAGGAAAUGCUGUGAUCGUCUGUGCUCCAGAGGCCCAACUUGUUUUAACUAGAAGCCAGGGAUUCAGUCUCGUUGCUCCCAUGCUGUGGACCCCUCUUCCAGCAAAGAUUCAACAGGCAUCCUCACAAUUGUCUCUUGAAGACCGUUGUUUGCCAACAGGCCUAUGAAGCUGUUUAAGCUUUGGCAAGAAGAGCGGGUUGCAUUUAUGAUUUUUUUAUAUAUUUGUAUUGUACUUGCAUGGGACGCGGGUGGCGCUGUGGGUUAAACCACAGAGCCUAGGACUUGCUGAUCAGAAGAUCGGCGGUUCGAAUCCCCACGACGGGUUGAGCUCCCGUUGCUCGGUCCCUGCUCCUGCACGUCAAAGUGCAAGUAGAUAAAUAGGUACCUCUCCGGCAGGAAGGUAAAUGGCGUUUCUGUGCACUGCUCAAGUUCGCCAGAAGCGGCUUAGUCAUGCUGGCCACAUGACCCGGAAGCUGUACGCCGGCUCCCUCGGCCAAUAAAGCGAGAUGAGCGCCGCAACCCCAGAGUUGAUCACGACUGGACCUAAUGGUCAGGGGUCCCUUUACCUUUACCUAUUGUACUUGGAUAGUUUCUAUAUGCCGCUUUGAUAGUUUCAGGAAGGGUCGGUCUGUAUAUAUUAAUAACAACAACAACAAUUUUAUUAUUUGUACCUUGCUCAUCUGCCUGUGCUGCUUCAGAUGUCUUCUAAAAGUUGUGUGGUUCUUUAUUUCCUUGACAUCUGAUGGGAAGGCGUUCCACAGGGUGGGCGCCACUGCCAAGAAGGCCCUCUGCCUGGUUCCCUGUAACUUCACUUCUCGCUGUGAGUGAACCGCCAGAAGGCCCUCGGAAGUGGUCCAAAAUGAACAAUGGGACAAUAAAUAGAUAAUUGUCAAACCCUUUUUGUUUGUUUGUAUAAUCCCUCCAGAUUUGUGUUUUUACAAUCACACGUUUUGAUAAGGAAUGCCUGAUGAAUAUAGAUGAUAUUCACCUAAGUCAGGCUUCCUCAACCAGAUGUUUUGAGACUACAAUUCCCAUCAUCCCUGACCACUGGUCCUGCUAGCUAGGGAUCAUGGGAGUUGUAGGCCAAAAACAUCUGGAGGGCAGAGGUUCAGGAAGGCUACCCUAAGGUAUACUCAGAGAAGGCCCAUAGGAAUUUACGAACAUGACUCAGUUAAGCCCAUUAAUUUCAACAGAUCUGAGCAAGACUUAGUUGAAUCUGUAAUGUUUAUGAACCCUGACAUGAACUGCCGUGGACCUGCAUUUUUCAGGCUAAUGUGCAGAGUGGACCAUCAUUAUUCACCAGCUUUCGCACUUCCUGAAUAUUUCAGUGCAGAUCUCAGCUCAAAAAGAAAUGUCAAAAUACAUUUUAAGAUGUCCUAAACUGCCCCACCACUACUAAAGAUGUAAUAAAGAUGCAGGUGGCUUCACCAUCAGCCAUCUUUAGUGCCCCCCCACUUUGCUCUGAUAAAGAGCUCUGGAGAACUUGAAAGCUUGCCCAUAUUUUGUGCCACUUUGGUUGACCUAAUAAAUAUUGCCCUACUGUGGAUUUGUAAAUUUUAAAAAAUGGCAUUUUAAAAUAGAAAUGGGUAUUUUGAAAGAAAAGCUGUUUUUUAAAAAAAUUACACAUUAAAAUGUGAAUUUUUGCCUGAAUUAAAAUAAUUCAGAUUAAUGUGGAAAUGAGUGAAUGUAUGUGGAAGCGAGAUGUCAUAGAAAUAGACUGAUUUGCCCAUCCAUAGUUUCAUCUCAAGUAUAAUCACUUUGGAGGCAGCUGUGUUGGCGGUAUCUUGAAUGACUUCAAUCGUCUUCUGAAAGAGCACUCAGGAGAUAACGGACUCCUGCCUCUGAUAAAGAAUUGCAAAACUCAAAAUGUAUUAGGCGAAACAACCAACCGUAUAUUAGGUGAUAGCUUUCAGGGGAUGGGAAAUUUUAGCCUAUGUUAUUUGCUCAUAUAAAUUUUAUUUGUAUUGCAAGCCACCUUGUGAGAGCUUGCCCUGAGGCUGGGGUUGUUGUUGUUGUUUAGUCAUUUAGUCGUGUCUGACGCUUCGUGACCCCAUGGACCAGAGCACGGCAGGCACUCCUGUCUUCCACUGCCUCCUGCAGUUUAGUCAAACUCAUGCUGGUAGCUUCGAGAACACUAUCCAACCAUCUUGUCCUCUGUCAUCCCCUUCUCUUUCCCUCUUUCCAGGUCUUUUCCAGGGAGUCUUCUCUUCUCAUGAGGUGGCCAAAGUAUUGGAGCCUCAGCUUCAGGAUCUGUCCUUCCAGUGAGCACUCAGGGCUGAUUUCCUUCAGAAUGGAUAGGUUUGAUCUCCUUGCAGUCCAUGGGGACUCUCAAGGGUCUCCUCCAGCACCAUAAGGUCAUCAGAUUAAAUCAUGCCCUUUUAUUUAGCACCUUGUAAGUUUUGCUUCUGUGUAUGUAUGUGUUUGUUGAAAGUGGGGCUCCACUCCCUUUUUUUCAUGCUGGUCUGAACCCACCCUACUGUCUCUCAGCUGAAUCCAAUAUAACCUUUUUUUAAACACACACACACACACACACACACACACACACACUGUGUGAAACAUUUCCCUCUGAGAAAUGGCUCUUUCACUUUAAUGAACACAAGCCAAUCAGCACUGAAUGUGUUAGCACAAGGUAGCGCUUGUUUGUGUUCUGUACCCUGGAGAUGCUUAAUGAGAUUGAGAGUAAGG